rnacentral:rRNA from 1 species
GGGCAAACCGAAGAGUUUACUCUUCGGGGUUGUAGGACUGCAAUGUGGACUCAAAGAUUAUAGAAGAAUGAUUUGGGAAGAUCAGCCAAAGAGAGUAAUAGCCUCGUAUUUAAAAUAGUCUUUGUACUUAGCAGUAUCCUGAGUACGGCGGGACACGUGAAAUCCCGUCGGAAUCCGGGAGGACCAUCUCCCAACCCUAAAUACUCCCUAGUGACCGAUAGUGAACCAGUACCGUGAGGGAAAGGUGAAAAGCACCCCGGGAGGGGAGUGAAAUAGAACCUGAAACCGUGUGCCUACAACAAGUUCGAGCCCGUUAAUGGGUGAGAGCGUGCCUUUUGUAGAAUGAACCGGCGAGUUACGUUAUGAUGCGAGGUUAAGUUGAAGAGACGGAGCCGUAGGGAAACCGAGUCUGAAUAGGGCGCCUUAGUAUCAUGACGUAGACCCGAAACCAUGUGACCUACCCAUGAGCAGGUUGAAGGUGCGGUAAGACGCACUGGAGGACCGAACCAGGGCACGUUGAAAAGUGCUUGGAUGACUUGUGGGUAGCGGAGAAAUUCCAAACGAACUUGGAGAUAGCUGGUUCUCUCCGAAAUAGCUUUAGGGCUAGCGUCGACAUUAGAGAUUCUUGGAGGUAGAGCACUGUUUGGGUGAGGGGUCCAUCCCGGAUUACCAAUCUCAGAUAAACUCCGAAUGCCAAUGAAUUAUGGUCGGCAGUCAGACUGCGAGUGCUAAGAUCCGUAGUCGAAAGGGAAACAGCCCAGACCACCAGCUAAGGUCCCAAAAUAAUUGUUAAGUGGAAAAGGAUGUGGGGUUGCACAGACAACUAGGAUGUUAGCUUAGAAGCAGCUAUUCAUUCAAAGAGUGCGUAAUAGCUCACUAGUCGAGUGACCCUGCGCCGAAAAUGUACCGGGGCUAAAACAAUUUACCGAAGCUGUGGAUACCUUUAUAGGUAUGGUAGGAGAGCGUUCUAUGUGUGAUGAAGGUGUACCGUGAGGAGUGCUGGAACGCAUAGAAGUGAGAAUGCCGGUAUGAGUAGCGAAAGACAGGUGAGAAUCCUGUCCACCGUAAGACUAAGGUUUCCAGGGGAAGGCUCGUCCGCCCUGGGUUAGUCGGGACCUAAGGAGAGACCGAAAGGUGUAUCCGAUGGACAACAGGUUGAUAUUCCUGUACUAGAGUAUGUAGUGAUGGAGGGACGCAGUAGGCUAACUAAAGCAGACGAUUGGAAGAGUCUGUCUAAGCAGUGAGGUGUGAAUUGAGUCAAAUGCUUAAUUCUAUAACAUUGAGCUGUGAUGGGGAGCGAAGUUUAGUAGCGAAGUUAGUGACGUCACACUGCCAAGAAAAGCUUCUAGCGUUUAAACAUACUCUACCCGUACCGCAAACCGACACAGGUAGUCGAGGCGAGUAGCCUCAGGUGAGCGAGAGAACUCUCGUUAAGGAACUCGGCAAAAUGACCCCGUAACUUCGGGAGAAGGGGUGCUGACUUUAAGUCAGCCGCAGUGAAUAGGCCCAAGCAACUGUUUAUCAAAAACACAGCUCUCUGCUAAAUCGUAAGAUGAUGUAUAGGGGGUGACGCCUGCCCGGUGCUGGAAGGUUAAGAGGAGUGCUUAGCGUAAGCGAAGGUAUGAAUUGAAGCCCCAGUAAACGGCGGCCGUAACUAUAACGGUCCUAAGGUAGCGAAAUUCCUUGUCGGGUAAGUUCCGACCCGCACGAAAGGCGUAAUGAUUUGGGCACUGUCUCAACGAGAGACUCGGUGAAAUUUUAGUACCUGUGAAGAUGCAGGUUACCCGCGACAGGACGGAAAGACCCCAUGGAGCUUUACUGCAGUUUGAUAUUGAGUGUCUGUACCACAUGUACAGGAUAGGUAGGAGUCUAAGAGAUCGGGACACCAGUUUCGAAGGAGACGCUGUUGGGAUACUACCCUUGUGUUAUGGCCACUCUAACCCAGAUAGGUGAUCCCUAUCGGAGACAGUGUCUGACGGGCAGUUUGACUGGGGCGGUCGCCUCCUAAAAGGUAACGGAGGCGCCCAAAGGUUCCCUCAGAAUGGUUGGAAAUCAUUCGCAGAGUGUAAAGGUAUAAGGGAGCUUGACUGCGAGAGCUACAACUCGAGCAGGGACGAAAGUCGGGCUUAGUGAUCCGGUGGUUCCGUAUGGAAGGGCCAUCGCUCAACGGAUAAAAGCUACCCUGGGGAUAACAGGCUUAUCUCCCCCAAGAGUUCACAUCGACGGGGAGGUUUGGCACCUCGAUGUCGGCUCGUCGCAUCCUGGGGCUGUAGUCGGUCCCAAGGGUUGGGCUGUUCGCCCAUUAAAGCGGCACGCGAGCUGGGUUCAGAACGUCGUGAGACAGUUCGGUCCCUAUCCGUCGCGGGCGUAGGAAAUUUGAGAGGAUCUGCUCCUAGUACGAGAGGACCAGAGUGGACUUACCGCUGGUGUACCAGUUGUCUUGCCAAAGGCAUCGCUGGGUAGCUAUGUAGGGAAGGGAUAAACGCUGAAAGCAUCUAAGUGUGAAACCCACCUCAAGAUGAGAUUUCCCAUGAUUAUAUAUCAGUAAGAGCCCUGAGAGAUGAUCAGGUAGAUAGGUUAGAAGUGGAAGUGUGGCGACACAUGUAGCGGACUAAUACUAAUAGCUCGAGGACUUAUCCAA